rnacentral:rRNA from 1 species
GAUGAACGCUAGCGGCAGGCCUAAUACAUGCAAGUCGAACGGUGUAGCAAUACACAGUGGCGCACGGGUGCGUAACACGUAUGCAACCUACCUUACAUUGGGGGAUAGCCUUUCGAAAGGGAGAUUAAUACCGCAUAAGACAGUAACUAGGCAUCUAGUAGCUGUUAAAGAUUUAUCGAUGUAAGCUGGGCAUGCGUCCAAUUAGUUAGUUGGCGAGGUAAUGGCUCACCAAGACGAUGAUUGGUAGGGGAACUGAGAGGUCAAUCCCCCACACUGGCACUGAGAUACGGGCCAGACUCCUACGGGAGGCAGCAGUAGGGAAUAUUGGGCAAUGGGCGCAAGCCUGACCCAGCCAUGCCGCGUGCAGGAAGAAAGCGUUAUGCGUUGUAAACUACUUUUAUACAGGAAGAAACGACCCUUGCGAGGGGCAUUGACGGUACUGUAUGAAUAAACACCGGCUAACUCCGUGCCAGCCGCCGCAGUAAUAC